rnacentral:rRNA from 1 species
CCUGUUUAACAAAAACAUCGUUUUCUGAAAAAUCCCCAAUAGAAAAUAAUGCCUGCCCAGUGAAAUUUAAACGGCCGCGUUAGCGUGAGCGUGCUAAGGUAGCGUAAUAAUUAGCCUUUUAAUUGGAGGCCAGUGAAUGGCAAGACUAGGAACACCUUUACUUUACGUAUGAAAAAAACUUUUCGUCUAAGUGAAAAGACUUAGAUAAUGAAGGUAGACGAAAAGACCCCGCGGAACUUUACCUUCUCUUCUACAAUCGUGUACUCACUCUAAGUGCAUAAGGUUUGAUUGGGGCAAUCUCGGAACAAACCAAGCUUCCAAUUUCUAAAAAAAUUUAUUUAAAAUUUACUA